AUGUACCAGUGCUGGCCUGGUCUACUCAGCACCAACGCCGCCGCCGUCGACAUGCUGUCAAGGCUGUCCGACAGGUUCAACAAGCCCGUCUGCGGCGUCCUGCCGACGGACGGCGCCGUCGUCGACGGGUCGCGCGGAGGGCUCAUCUCCCCGCUGCUGUUCGCGUCGGGAAGGUCGGCCGAGCAGCCCGGAUGCCUGUCGAGUCCGUCCGUCGCCGCGUUCACGCGGGAGACCGAUGGUGACGCGGAGGCCGAGCUGCCGUGCCUGGCGUUCGGAUCGGAGGACGGCUUCCAGGUCUUCUCCUUCGCCGAGAACCGCAUGCGCAGCGACGAAGUCGCGAUGCGGCUGGCGCGCGGCCGCCGGCACGUGCCGUCCCCGCACGGAGGGAAGGUGUUCGUCACGGACAUGUGCGGCCGCCACCCGUGCCACCUCGUCGACCCGUUCACGGGCGAGCGGACGCCGCUCCCCGACCUGCCCGUCCCGCUCUCCGAGGAGGAGCCGAUGGCGGUGCUCGAGACUGACCGGAGCGAGCCCCGGUACCGGCUGUCGACGGACGACGCGUUCGCGUGGGACUGGUCGCCGCACGGCGUCAUCGUUGCGCGCGGCGACACGGUGUUCUUCUGCAAGGCGGGAGGCGACGAGUGGACGCCGGUGCACCGGUCGAGCCACGGCUCGGCCAUGACCGUGAACUACCGCGGCGGCUUCUUCUUCGUGCUCGAGGAGCUGUCGCUGCGCACCGCCGUCAUCGACGCCGAGACCCUGGACCGCUCCGCCGAGAUCGACCCGCCGCCUCGCGACGGCGGCGUACACCUGGCGUUCCUCGUGACCUCCACCGACAACGUGCUCCUGCUGGUGAGCCGCGACGGGUACAGGUCGACCUUCACCCACGCGUACCGCGCGCACAGGCCGCGGCAGGACGGGCCCGUCCAGUGGGAGCAGGUGAAGAACAUCGGCGACCGCGCGGUGUUUGUCGACGGCGCGCACGGCUUCACCGUUCGCGCCGGCGGGCGCGUGAGGAGGAACUGCGUCUACGUGUCCAAGACCGUGGAGCUGGACGACGAUGGCGGCAUGGCGCGCGUGGUCGCCGUGUCUCCGCUGAACGACCUGAGGAAGGUGGCGAUGGCGGAGGGAGGCGAGGCGCUAAGACGCUGCAAGAUAGAGCCGGUGUGGGGAAUAUCGCAUUGGAUGAUCUGUAACCAUGGACCGUCGCCGUCGUUAGGUUCAUCAAAUCAUAGCAAUCUAGCAUUAGAGCACUAA
rnacentral:rRNA from 1 species